AUUGAACGCUGGCGGCAUGCCUUACACAUGCAAGUCGAACGGUAACGGGCCUUCGGGUGCCGACGAGUGGCGAACGGGGGAGUAAUACAUCGGAACGUGCCCGAUCGUGGGGGAUAACGAGGCGAAAGCUUUGCUAAUACCGCAUACGAUCUACGGAUGAAAGCAGGGGACCGCAAGGCCUUGCGCGGACGGAGCGGCCGAUGGCAGAUUAGGUAGUUGGUGGGAUAAAAGCUUACCAAGCCGACGAUCUGUAGCUGGUCUGAGAGGAUGAUCAGCCACACUGGGACUGAGACACGGCCCAGACUCCUACGGGAGGCAGCAGUGGGGAAUUUUGGACAAUGGGCGCAAGCCUGAUCCAGCCAUGCCGCGUGCAGGAUGAAGGCCUUCGGGUUGUAAACUGCUUUUGUACGGAACGAAAAGCCUUCUUUUAAUACAGGAGGGUCAUGACGGUACCGUAAGGAUAAGCACCGGCUAACUACGUG
rnacentral:rRNA from 1 species